rnacentral:rRNA from 1 species
CACGUAGGCACCAAGCGUUGUCCGGAUUUAUUGGGCGUAAAGAGCUCGUAGGCGGUUCAGUAAGUCAGGUGUGAAAUCUUUGGGCUUAACCCAAAGCGUGCACUUGAUACUGCUGUGACUUGAGUUCGGUAGGGGAGUGGGGAAUUCCACGUGUAGCGGUGAAAUGCGUAGAGAUGUGGAGGAACACCAGUGGCGAAGGCGGCUCUCUGGACUGUAACUGACGCUGAGGCGCGAAAGCGUGGGGAGCAAACAGG